CCUGUUGGAGGUAGAGGAAGGCGGGCGGGCACGGCACGGAGUGCGGGAGCAUGCUGCCGGAGUUGGACAGCAGGAGGCAGCCCGAGUUCGCCAUGGAGCACAGCAUGGGGCGGCAGGGGGGCGCCCGGCGGCCGGAGGAGCUCUGCGCUCGCUGCGUCCCUCGGUGUGUGCGCGCGCCCUGCCUCCCGGGCGCCCUCCCGGUCUCUCCUCCUCCUCUUCCUCCUCGGGGCCUCCCCUCCCCCUCGUGGCGCUCUUUAGGAGGGAGGCAUGGAAAGGCCAGCGGCGCGCCUCUGCCCGGUGCUCCCCCUGCCUAGGCAGGGAAGCUGAAGAGAGAGCGCGCGAGAAUAUGGCAAGAGAAUAUAUGCGCGAGAGGAUGGAUGCGAGGGAACGAGGGGGAGUCUGCCACUUUGGAGCAACCCGAGCCCUGUCUGCAAAGAGUGGUAGGGGCAGACCCAGGACAUUCAGUGCCAGUUCUGGACUCCGCUCUCCUUCCUAAAGGCACCUGGUAUCCUCUCCUCCCACCAUGGACAGCAAGUUCUCCUCUGGAAGGAGGCUGUCUUGAGGCUUCUCCUGUGCACAGAGGACAUCAUGGAGCUUGGCAGAGGCCACUCAGGACAAGGGCUGAGCUCACAGGCUCCAGUUACAGCAAGGCCAUCGUCACAGAUACACUGUGUCUGCGUGGUUCUGCAGAGCCAGACCUUCCUGCCCCAGCCUGGGCUUCUUGGCGCAGGUAAGGGAAUCAGGCUCCGGGGAGAGAGUGUGCCUGGGCACUCCAUCCCCUCUGCUCAUCACCCUGCUGUUGGAGCUGCAGACCAUGGCACUCUCUCCAGGGAGGAAGAUUAGCCCAGUGGGAUAUUUAGGAGAAGACAAGACCAACCACUGGAUCGUCUCAACUUCAGAGUGGACUUCGAUGUGCUGAUUACCUCUGCGGUGGGAGCAGGUGACCUUGAACAGACUGGUUUGGUGCAAGUUCAGGAAUAGUUAAUAGCACUUAAAUAAGUAUCUAAAGCUUUAAUUAAACUGAAAUAAAGUAAAGCUUCAGCCCCUCAGUUGUACUACUCGUGUUCCCAGUGCCUGAUGGCCAUGUGUGGCUGGGGCCAGUGUGUUCAUGCAGAUGUGAAAUGUUCCCAUGGGUGGGGGAGUCCUAGUGGACAGUCCUGCUGCAAAGCUUCCAUAUUUCCAUCUCUAUAAGCUGAGGAGGAGAAAAGUCCCUUCUCGAACUGCU
rnacentral:lncRNA from 1 species